UUAUUCAAAACUAGCUGACCCGGCAG
rnacentral:sRNA from 1 species